GGAAAAUCAUCUAGUAGAUAUUCAUAGGUCAUGUUGUGCUAUUUGUAAAGGUGGCAAGCUCGCGGCAUCGCAAUCAAUAAUCCAAUGGUAAGUGACUACGUUUUCCAUAAAUUAUGCAGGUUUAUCGCCGUUACAUUACCAUUGUUAACCAUUUUUCUACGAAACCGUCAUGAUGGCAUGUCAAACAUCUUUUGCAGAAACGUAACAUACUGUUGUUCUAUUUCAAUGAUGAAGAUUCGAUUAUUUUGUUCAUACAGAUGGCAGUCACCGGAAACGAUCCACUGAUGGAUCGAAACCCGAUACAGGAUUUGCGGUAUCUGGCAGCUAAAGGAAGUGACGGAAUCGUGAUGCAAUUGACUUCCAGAUUAAUCAAUUCCAUUCCUGAAUAUCUGUUAUUACUGUGUGGGACGAUGGUACAAUA